rnacentral:rRNA from 1 species
CAGCCCUGAAAAUGGAUGGCGCUAGAGCGUCGGACCUAUACCGGGCCGUCUCGGCAAUCUGUUAUAACGAAGAGAAGCUGAGACGAGUAGGAGGGCCGCUGCGGUGAGCCUUGAAGCCU